rnacentral:rRNA from 1 species
GACGAACGCUGGCGGCGUGCUUAACACAUGCAAGUCGAGCGGUAAGGCCUCUUCGGGGGUACACGAGCGGCGAACGGGUGAGUAACACGUGGGUGACCUGCCCUCAGCUCUGGGAUAAGCCUGGGAAACUGGGCCUAAUACCGGAUAUGACCUUUCCUCGCAUGGGGUUUGGUGGAAAGUUUUUUCGGCUGGGGAUGGGCCCGCGGCCUAUCAGCUUGUUGGUGGGGUGAUGGCCUACCAAGGCGACGACGGGUAGCCGGCCUGAGAGGGCGACCGGCCACCCUGGGACUGAGACACGGCCCAGACUCCUACGGGAGGCAGCAGUGGGGAAUAUUGCGCAAUGGGCGGAAGCCUGACGCAGCGACGCCGCGUGGGGGAUGACGGCCUUCGGGUUGUAAACCUCUUUCGACCCCGACGAAUUUGGACGGUAGGGGUAGAAGAAGCACCGGCCAACUACGUG